CUGUAACACGUGAGAAACCUGUCCAUCGGUGGGGAAUAGCCGGCCCAACGGCCGGUUAAUACCGCGUACGAUCGUUCGGGGGCAUCCCUGGACGAUGAAAGCCACGCAAGUGGCGCCGGCGGAGGGUCUCGCGGCCUAUCAGCUAGUUGGCGGGGUAAUGGCCCACCAAGGCGACGACGGGUAGCUGGUCUGAGAGGACGAUCAGCCACAUUGGGACUGAGACACGGCCCAGACUCCUACGGGAGGCAGCAGUGGGGAAUCUUGCGCAAUGGCCGCAAGGCUGACGCAGCGACGCCGCGUGUGGGAUGACGGCCUUCGGGUUGUAAACCACUGUCGGGAGGAACGAAUACGCAGUGAUGAACUGCGGGUGACGGUACCUCCAAAGGAAGCACCGGCUAACUCCGUGCCAGCAGCCGCGGUAAUACGGAGGGUGCGAGCGUUGUCCGGAAUCACUGGGCGUAAAGGGCGCGUAGGUGGCCCGUUAAGUGGCUGGUGAAAUCCCGCGGCUCAACUGCGGGGCUGCCGGUCAUACUGGCGAGCUAGAGCACGGUAGGGGCAGAUGGAAUUCCCGGUGUAGCGGUGGAAUGCGUAGAGAUGUGGAGGAACACCCGAUGGCGAAGGCAGCCUCCUGGGCCAAUACUGACGCUCAUGCACGAAAGCGUGGGGGAGCAAACAGGAUUAGAUGCCCUGGU
rnacentral:rRNA from 1 species